AAACUGCGAAUGGCUCAUUAAAUCAGUUAUCGUUUAUUUGAUAGUACCUUACUACAUGGAUACCUGUGGUAAUUCUAGAGCUAAUACAUGCUAAAAACCCCGACUUCAGGAAGGGGUGUAUUUAUUAGAUAAAAAACCAACGCCCUUCGGGGCUCCCUGGUGAAUCAUAAUAACUUAACGAAUCGCAUGGCCUUGCGCCGGCGAUGGUUCAUUCAAAUUUCUGCCCUAUCAACUUUCGAUGGUAGGAUAGUGGCCUACCAUGGUGGCAACGGGUAACGGGGAAUUAGGGUUCGAUUCCGGAGAGGGAGCCUGAGAAACGGCUACCACAUCCAAGGAAGGCAGCAGGCGCGCAAAUUACCCAAUCCCGAUACGGGGAGGUAGUGACAAUAAAUACUGAUACGGGGCUCUUUUGGGUCUCGUAAUUGGAAUGAGAACAAUUUAAAUCCCUUAACGAGGAACAAUUGGAGGGCAAGUCUGGUGCCAGCAGCCGCGGUAAUUCCAGCUCCAAUAGCGUAUAUUAAAGUUGUUGCAGUUAAAAAGCUCGUAGUUGAACCUUGGGUCUGGCUGGCCGGUCCGCCUCAC
rnacentral:rRNA from 1 species